rnacentral:rRNA from 1 species
UACGUAGGGUGCGAGCGUUGUCCGGAAUUAUUGGGCGUAAAGGGCUCGUAGGCGGUUUGUCGCGUCGGGAGUGAAAUCCACUGGCUUAACUGGUGGCUUGCUUUCGAUACGGGCAGACUGGAGGUAUGCAGGGGAGAACGGAAUUCCUGGUGUAGCGGUGAAAUGCGCAGAUAUUGGGAGGAACACCAGUGGCGAAGGCGGCUACCUGGACCGGUUCUGACGCUGAGGCGCGAAAGCGUGGGUAGCAAACAGG